AGCGAACGUUAGCGGCGGGCUUAACACAUGCAAGUCGAACGAGAAUGAGGGGGGCAACUCCUCUAGUAAAGUGGCGGACGGGUGCGUAACACGUGGGUAAUUUACCUUCCGGCGGGGGACAACAGUCCGAAAGGGAUUGCUAAUACCGCAUACGUCGGCGAGAACUCUGGUUCUUGUCGGGAAAGAUGGCCUCUCCUUGGAAGCUAUCCCCGGAAGAUGAACCCGCGUCCCAUCAGCUAGUUGGUGAGGAACGGCUCACCAAGGCUAAGACGGGUAGCUGGUCUGAGAGGAUGAUCAGCCACACUGGGACUGCGACACGGCCCAGACUCCUACGGGAGGCAGCAGUGGGGAAUAUUGGGCAAUGGGCGAAAGCCUGACCCAGCCACGCCGCGUGAGUGAUGAAGGCCUC
rnacentral:rRNA from 1 species